rnacentral:rRNA from 1 species
UACGUAGGGGGCAAGCGUUGUCCGGAUUUAUUGGGCGUAAAGCGCUCGCAGGCGGUCCCGUGCGUCGUGCGUGAAAGGCCCCGGCUCAACCGGGGGCGGUCGUGCGAUACGGCGGGACUGGAGGCCAGUAGGGGGACGCGGAAUUCCGGGUGUAGUGGUGGAAUGCGUAGAGAUCCGGAGGAACACCAGCGGCGAAGGCGGCGUCCUGGACUGGGCCUGACGCUCAGGGCGAACGCGAAGCGGGAUGGGCGAGUCCGG